CGGGCGUUAAGUUGCAGGGUAUAGACCCGAAACCCGGUGAUCUAGCCAUGGGCAGGUUGAAGGUUGGGUAACACUAACUGGAGGACCGAACCGACUAAUGUUGAAAAAUUAGCGGAUGACCUGUGGCUGGGGGUGAAAGGCCAAUCAAACCGGGAGAUAGCUGGUUCUCCCCGAAAGCUAUUUAGGUAGCGCCUCGUGAAUUCAUCUCCGGGGGUAGAGCACUGUUUCGGCUAGGGGGCCAUCCCGGCUUACCAACCCGAUGCAAACUGCGAAUACCGGAGAAUGUUAUCACGGGAGACACACGGCGGGUGCUAACGUCCGUCGUGAAGAGGGAAACAACCCAGACCGCCAGCUAAGGUCCCAAAGUCAUGGUUAAGUGGGAAACGAUGUGGGAAGGCCCAGACAGCCAGGAUGUUGGCUUAGAAGCAGCCAUCAUUUAAAGAAAGCGUAAUAGCUCACUGGUCGAGUCGGCCUGCGCGGAAGAUGUAACGGGGCUAAACCAUGCACCGAAGCUGCGGCAGCGACACUGUGUGUUGUUGGGUAGGGGAGCGUUCUGUAAGCCUGCGAAGGUGGCCUGUGAGGGUUGCUGGAGGUAUCAGAAGUGCGAAUGCUGACAUAAGUAACGAUAAAGCGGGUGAAAAGCCCGCUCGCCGGAAGACCAAGGGUUCCUGUCCAACGUUAAUCGGGGCAGGGUGAGUCGACCCCUAAGGCGAGGCCGAAAGGCGUAGUCGAUGGGAAACGGGUUAAUAUUCCCGUACUUGGUGUUACUGCGAAGGGGGGACGGAGAAGGCUAUGUUGGCCGGGCGACGGUUGUCCCGGUUUAAGCGUGUAGGUGUGUGUUCCAGGUAAAUCCGGUUCACUUUAACACUGAGGCGUGACGACGAGGCACUACGGUGCUGAAGCAACAAAUGCCCUGCUUCCAGGAAAAGCCUCUAAGCAUCAGGUAACAUCAAAUCGUACCCCAAACCGACACAGGUGGUCAGGUAGAGAAUACCAAGGCGCUUGAGAGAACUCGGGUGAAGGAACUAGGCAAAAUGGUGCCGUAACUUCGGGAGAAGGCACGCUGACACGUAGGUGAAGUGAUUUACUCAUGGAGCUGAAGUCAGUCGAAGAUACCAGCUGGCUGCAACUGUUUAUUAAAAACACAGCACUGUGCAAACACGAAAGUGGACGUAUACGGUGUGACGCCUGCCCGGUGCCGGAAGGUUAAUUGAUGGGGUCAGCGCAAGCGAAGCUCCUGAUCGAAGCCCCGGUAAACGGCGGCCGUAACUAUAACGGUCCUAAGGUAGCGAAAUUCCUUGUCGGGUAAGUUCCGACCUGCACGAAUGGCGUAAUGAUGGCCAGGCUGUCUCCACCCGAGACUCAGUGAAAUUGAACUCGCUGUGAAGAUGCAGUGUACCCGCGGCAAGACGGAAAGACCCCGUGAACCUUUACUAUAGCUUGACACUGAACAUUGAGCCUUGAUGUGUAGGAUAGGUGGGAGGCUUUGAAGUGUGGACGCCAGUCUGCAUGGAGCCGACCUUGAAAUACCACCCUUUAAUGUUUGAUGUUCUAACGUGGACCCGUUACCCGGGUUGCGGACAGUGUCUGGUGGGUAGUUUGACUGGGGCGGUCUCCUCCUAAAGAGUAACGGAGGAGCACGAAGGUUGGCUAAUCCUGGUCGGACAUCAGGAGGUUAGUGCAAUGGCAUAAGCCAGCUUGACUGCGAGCGUGACGGCGCGAGCAGGUGCGAAAGCAGGUCAUAGUGAUCCGGUGGUUCUGAAUGGAAGGGCCAUCGCUCAACGGAUAAAAGGUACUCCGGGGAUAACAGGCUGAUACCGCCCAAGAGUUCAUAUCGACGGCGGUGUUUGGCACCUCGAUGUCGGCUCAUCACAUCCUGGGGCUGAAGUAGGUCCCAAGGGUAUGGCUGUUCGCCAUUUAAAGUGGUACGCGAGCUGGGUUUAGAACGUCGUGAGACAGUUCGGUCCCUAUCUGCCGUGGGCGCUGGAGAACUGAGGGGGGCUGCUCCUAGUACGAGAGGACCGGAGUGGACGCAUCACUGGUGUUCGGGUUGUCAUGCCAAUGGCACUGCCCGGUAGCUAAAUGCGGAAGAGAUAAGUGCUGAAAGCAUCUAAGCACGAAACUUGCCCCGAGAUGAGUUCUCCCUGAGACUUAAAGUCUCCUGAAGGAACGUUGAAGACGACGACGUUGAU
rnacentral:rRNA from 1 species